GAAUCCGACAUAGGCGACGUAGAAGUCGGCGGGCUUCCACUGCAUGGACUCU
rnacentral:sRNA from 1 species